UGUGGUUAAAAAGCUCGUAGUUGGAUCUCAACAGCCUUGAAGCGGUUAACUUUGUAGUUUUACUGCUUUAUAGGCUGUGCUUUUGCUGGAGGUUUAGGGGUGCUCUUGAUCGAGUGUCUCUGGAUGCCAGCAGGUUUACUUUGAAAAAAUUAGAGUGCUCAAAGCAGGCUAAAAUGCCUGAAUAUUCGUGCAUGGAAUAAUAGAAUAGGAUGUCGAUCCUAUUUUGUUGGUUUUCGGGACUCGACAUAAUGAUAAAUAGGGACAGUCGGGGGCAUUUGUAUUCAAACGACAGAGGUGAAAUUCUUGGACCGUUUGAAGACAAACUACUGCGAAAGCAUUUGCCAAGAAUGUUUUCAUUAAUCAAGAACGAAAGUUAGAGGUUCGAAGGCGAUUAGAUACCGCCCUAGUUCUAACCAUAAACGAUGCCAGCUAGCGAUCUGCCUGCGUUUUUACUGUAGACUGGGCAGGAAGCUUCCGGGAAACCAAAGCAUUUGGGUUCCAGGGGAAGUAUGGUUGCAAAGCUGAAACUUAAAGGAAUUGACGGAAGGGCGCCACCAGGAGUGGAGCCUGUGGC
rnacentral:rRNA from 1 species